rnacentral:rRNA from 1 species
UAGGGAAUCUUCCGCAAUGGGCGAAAGCCUGACGGAGCAACGCCGCGUGAGUGAUGAAGGUCUUCGGAUCGUAAAACUCUGUUAUUAGGGAAGAACAAAUAUGUAAGUAACUAUGCACGUCUUGACGGUACCUAAUCAGAAAGCCACGGCUAACUACGUGCCAGCAGCCGCGGUAAUACGUAGGUGGCAAGCGUUAUCCGGAAUUAUUGGGCGUAAAGCGCGCGUAGGCGGUUUUUUAAGUCUGAUGUGAAAGCCCACGGCUCAACCGUGGAGGGUCAUUGGAAACUGGAAAACUUGAGUGCAGAAGAGGAAAGUGGAAUUCCAUGUGUAGCGGUGAAAUGCGCAGAGAUAUGGAGGAACACCAGUGGCGAAGGCGACUUUCUGGUCUGUAACUGACGCUGAUGUGCGAAAGCGUGGGGAUCAAACAGGAUUAGAUACCCUGGUAGUCCACGCCGUAAACGAUGAGUGCUAAGUGUUAGGGGGUUUCCGCCCCUUAGUGCUGCAGCUAACGCAUUAAGCACUCCGCCUGGGGAGUACGACCGCAAGGUUG